rnacentral:snoRNA from 1 species
GGGGGGCAAAUGAUGAAUAAAAGAAAACAAAUGGGUAAUUUGCGACUGAUCCAUUACAUUGAUGUGUCUUUUUCACCUUGGAGAACUGAUGUCCCCU